UAUCACUGCUAAACCUGUUUUACAGAUGAGGGAGCUCAAGAUCAAUCACUUCCUGAGGUCAUAGAGCAAGCAGGCGGAAGAGCUGGAACUCAAGCAUCUGUCCGUCCAUCUGUCCAUCCAUCCAUCCAUCCAUCCAUCCAUCCAUCCCACAAAUACUAAUUGAACACCUACUACCCGCUGGCUACCAGGGAUUCAUGUGAGAAUAAUAAAGAUAACAGUCCCUGCUCUGUGGAGACAAACACAACAAAAAGAAUAGUUGGAAUUAUACGUGUGGCUCACACAAUGUUUUUGUCCUGGCCCUGGCCAUUCCAGAGCUCCCAGGCGACUCGGGGAGCAGGGCACACAAUGGAGUGAUUGUAGUACCAUGAGGCAUUGUUACAGGUUCUGCUCCAGAAUUAUACACCAGGGAACAAGAUGGACAAACCCUGUUCUCACAGAGCUGACUUGCAGGUGACAUUGCUCAGGACAAGGACGAGAGAAAGAACAAAUCACGGUCGGAGAGGAGGAAGCUACCUUGUUUUUCAGUUUGAAGUUCAGGGCAGAGAAAACCAGGUGGAUGGAAGGGCUGCCAGUCAUCCCGUUGCCCUGCCCCCUUCACCUGUACACAAAGGAAGGAGGAAAAGAAGGAACGUGCAAGGAACUCAGAGCUGAAAUCUCCAAAAGGAAUCAAGAAUAUCAGUGUUGGAGCGUCGUAUAGAUCAUCUCCUGUCCCACUGGUUGCCCCCCUACUAUGGUGGAUACCCCCAGGGAUGCUCUUCCCAAGGGGACCCCUCUGCCAUCACAAUUACUAAAUGAAGGACCUAAGUGGCAGGAAAACUUAGUCUGGGUUAUUUCAGUGGAAUCCUGGUAGGUGACACCAAUUCUAUUAAUAAAAUUCUUGGAACGAGAA